AUGGCAAUCAUAAGUUAAGAGGAAAGUCCAGAAACAGAGCAUUUUGUCCCUCCUGGAGAGGGUCAUGUUGGAAGAUGACACAGCUGCUGUAGGCAUUUCGAUUUGUAUGAUUGUGGAGCAUCUCCCAUUUGAAUUAAAGUCAGCUUGGCCCAUAAUAAGAGGUGGCAUCCACACAAAUCCGUUUCACUUGGAUCAAUUAUUGAGAAAGGUUCUGUGGAACCGAAACGCGUUGUUUUUGGACUGAGGAGAAGCACAUGUGAACUGGAAGUGAAUCCAUGCUGAUAAUUCUUCUGCGGUGGUGCUAGGCUAAUUCAGCCCAGGACCACACCAGCUUAUUCUAUAAGCUAGCCCACCGCACCACAGUAAAAGGGGGGAUCAUCUUAGCCAACGCAGUCUGUCGUCAGUUACCAACACGUCUGGCCCAUAUCUAGCGAAGGGUCAGUGGUCCUUAUACUGACAAAUUAUCUAGCAGCCAUAAGAGUUGGGCCGACUUCAAAUCCCGCCUGAAGGGCAAGAGGUCUGCGGAGUGGAAUGCCUCGAGGGCUACAGGGGCGGACCAGCUGUCGCUGUGAAGUAUACCGAGUUGGAGGAGAUGGCGAUGGACUGUGUCAGUUAUGAGGAGGGGACAGGGGUGUCUUAUAUGGACACGGACCUGCCUGAAAUACUGACGGCACAUGACUUGCCAGCACAGGGGGGUAAGCAAGUAGAGUCACAGGAGGGUUAUGUGGCUGAGGCUGAGGUGGAGGGACCUAGUGUGUCUGGCAGUGUAGGACCCCAAAUCCCACCUAUCCAGGUUCCAACUGGCCCCCCCACCCAACCCUCUGCUAUCCUGGAGAUCUUGCUUGAAAUAGCUAGGUAUGGUGAGAGCCUAAAUGCUUUUCAGGACGGGGUUAUCCGGGAGGUAAGCCAGAUAGCUGUCCGGCUCACUGAGCACCGAACCAGUGUUGAGCAAGGUGUUGCGCAACUCUGCCAAGGUCUGGCAGAGAUCAGGCAGGGACAAGAUCAACUUUCCUCCUCAUUCCAAAACCUUGCAAAUAACAUCUUGCAAGGGCUCCAGGCCAUCGCUGUAUCCCUUGCCCACAGUGGCAGAGAGCCAGCCACAUCGGCUCCCACCCCUGCCCCUGCCCAGGAAGAACAUCCCACUGGGCAGGGCCCACGAAGGUUGCUCCGCAGACCAAGCCAAGAAGAACAGCAUCAGGCGGGGAAAAAAAAAGAAAGUGAUGUCUCUCCAGAUGGGCAGCACCCAUGUUUUUCAUGUUGUCUCUAUGUUUUUUUUUGUGUUGGCUUGUGUGGCCAGAAUGGCUAACUCCCUCUUAGUGAAAUUUAUUAUUUUUGUUUUGAUAUAUUGCAGCCUGUGAGCUUUUUUUUCCUGUACACCAGAGCCAUCUUCCUCUUCCUAGUGUGCUGUGUAUUGUUGUGUUUGUGUGGUGGCUCCUGAAUCUUUCUCAGUUCCCCAAAUAUAUUUGUCUGGCAGGGUGUUUACACCAUAUUUAUUUGCAUUUAAAUUAUUAUUUUGUCAGAAGCUGGAGUUUCCCUAGUACUGAGUUCUGCUAUGUCAUUUGUGUCAGUGGCAUCUGCUUGCUGCUUGGUCCAUCUUUGCCUGUGAUACUCACAUGUAGCCAUGUUGUUUUGAUCACUAAA